rnacentral:rRNA from 1 species
AGUCGAGCGAGGUAGCAAUACCUAGCGGCAGACGGGUGCGUAACAUGUGGGAAUCUGCCUUUUGGUUCGGAAUAACACGAGGAAACUUGUGCUAAUACCGGAUAAGUCCUUACGGAGAAAGUUUUAAUGCCAAAAGAUGAGCCCGCAUUUGAUUAGCUAGUUGGUGAGGUAAAAGCUCACCAAGGCGACAAUCAAUAGCUGAUUUGAGAGGAUGAUCAGCCACACUGGGACUGAGAUACGGCCCAGACUCC